CUACGUGCCAGCAGCCGCGGUAAUACGUAGGCGGCAAGCGUUGUCCGGAAUUAUUGGGCGUAAAGCGCGCGCAGGCGGAUUGGUCAGUCUGUCUUAAAAGUUCGGGGCUUAACCUCGUGAUGGGAUGGAAACUGCCAAUCUAGAGUAUCGGAGAGGAAAGUGGAAUUCCUAGUGUAGCGGUGAAAUGCGUAGAUAUUAGGAAGAACACCAGUGGCGAAGGCGACUUUCUGGACGAAAACUGACGCUGAGGCGCGAAAGCCAGGGGAGCGAACGGGAUUAGAUACCCCGGUAGUCCUGGCCGUAAACGAUGGGUACUAGGUGUAGGAGGUAUCGACCCCUUCUGUGCCGGAGUUAACGCAAUAAGUACCCCGCCUGGGGAGUACGACCGCAAGGUUGAAACUCAAAGGAAUUGACGGGGGCCCGCACAAGCGGUGGAGUAUGUGGUUUAAUUCGAUGAUACGCGAGGAACCUUACCCGGGCUCGAAUUGCAGAGGAAGGAUUUAGAGAUA
rnacentral:rRNA from 1 species